rnacentral:rRNA from 1 species
AGUGAACGCUGGCGGUAGGCCUAACACAUGCAAGUCGAACGGCAGCACAGGAGAGCUUGCUCUCUGGGUGGCGAGUGGCGGACGGGUGAGGAAUACAUCGGAAUCUACUCUGUCGUGGGGGAUAACGUAGGGAAACUUACGCUAAUACCGCAUACGACCUACGGGUGAAAGCAGGGGACCUUCGGGCCUUGCGCGAUUGAAUGAGCCGAUGUCGGAUUAGCUAGUUGGCGGGGUAAAGGCCCACCAAGGCGACGAUCCGUAGCUGGUCUGAGGGGAUGAUCAGCCACACUGGAACUGAGACACGGUCCAGACUCCUACGGGAGGCAGCAGUGGGGAAUAUUGGACAAUGGGCGCAAGCCUGAUCCAGCCAUACCGCGUGGGUGAGGAAGGCCUUCGGGUUGUAAAGCCCUCUUGUUGGGAAAGAAAUCCAGCUGGCUAAUACCCGGUUGGGAUGACGGUACCCAAAGAAUAAGCACCGGCUAACUUCGUGCCAGCCGCCGCCGUAA